AGAACUACUGAAUAAUAAAAACUAGCCCUAUUCAUAAAGCUUACAACUCUAAUCACAUUAGGAAUAGAAACCCCAAUUCAAAUCUAAUUAGGAAUAUCAAGCUAAUUAAACUUCCUAAAUAAAAAUACCAAUCCUACUAAUAAUAGAAUUACUAGAUACUACGUAUACUAAGGGCUGUUUACUUGUGAAAAAAAUUUUUUU
rnacentral:misc_RNA from 1 species